rnacentral:rRNA from 1 species
UACGUAGGGGGCUAGCGUUGUCCGGAAUCAUUGGGCGUAAAGCGCGUGUAGGCGGCACGGUAAGUCCGCUGUGAAAGUCGGGGGCUCAACCCUCGAAAGCCGGUGGAUACUGUCGGGCUCGAGUGCGGAAGAGGCGAGUGGAAUUCCUGGUGUAGCGGUGAAAUGCGCAGAUAUCAGGAGGAACACCGAUUGCGAAGGCAGCUCGCUGGGACGUUACUGACGCUGAGACGCGAAAGCGUGGGGAGCAAACAGG